rnacentral:lncRNA from 10 species
AGAUCAGGGUUUCUCCCCCAAAGGAGCCUGCAGCAGUGUCACACAGAACACACCCCCUCAACUGUCUUUCUACUGAAAAAAAAGAGAGGGAAACGUGCUUCAAUAAGAGGGACACAGGGACCCCCAAGCCCUGCCCUUUAGAGAAGCUUAAAGACUCCUACAUCAUUCUUUUUUUUUUUUUUUUUAAGGAAUUGGGUCCCUUCCAUCUGUGGCCAUGACCGUUCAUCCCACAGCCUGUCCUCCUCUCUUGAGAGCUGUCCUGGCUCAGGCUGUGGCUGGAUUCUCAAGCAGCAUCAUGUGGCCAGGUUAGGAGCAGGAUGUCACAGAGAGAGGGGUCCAAAGUUCAGCUGCUGGGAAAGGCCACAAAGACUGGGGUCCCAGGAGAACGGCGACCUGCCUAUCAGUUCUAUCUCUAAAACUCUGGGGUUCGACUCUCCAGACU